ensembl:lncRNA
AAUGAAUAAAGGGUGUAUAUAAACACGUAUGUGUUUAAUAUGCGCAUGUAUUACUAAUUGCUAAAAUAACAAGCUGGAUAAAAAAAGAAUAUAAGCCUGAAUAAUUAUUAUAUAAAUUUUUUUUUUUAUUUUAUUUUUUUUUUUAUUUAUUUCUCUUAACAUGUUCAUACAUUUUAUCUAUUUUUACAGAUAUUAGGAUUCGACUCACUAAAAAUUGAUUUUUAUUACACAUGUGACACAUAUGAUGUGUUUAUGAAAAUAAGAGGAAAAAUAAUUGAUCAAUAUGAAAAUGCUAAUUAUGUCAUGCUAAUGCUUUUGCAGAAUUUGUAUUUGACUACACCUUAUCCUAGUGGUUUUAUUGAAACAGAGAAGAAAUUUUUAAAAAUCCUCGAAAGUAAUGAAAAGAAAAAGCAAUUGUUAAAACAUGGUAUAAAUGGGAUAAGUAGUAGGAAUAGAAAAAGUAAUGACAGUUUUAACACUUUGAAUAAAUUAUACAAACCUCCUGGUUUUAUUAUAUAUGAAAAAAAAAUCAGUGAAGAUAUGUAUUUACAAAUAAGAAAGUGUGGUUUUUCAUCUGAAUAUUUUAAAAACAAUAAUGACAGUAAUGAAGAGGAGAUGAAUGAAAGUGAUAGAAGUUCAUUAGAAGUAACAGAAGAAUCGGGAGAAGAUGAAAUCAUAAAUGGUGACGUAAAUGGAGACGUAAAUGGAGACGUAAAUGGAGACGUAAAUGGAGACGUAAAUGGAGAUGUAAGUGGUGACGCAAAUGGUGACGUAAAUGGAGUUGUAAAUGGAGUUGUAAAUGGAGUUGUAAACGAAAACGGAAACGAAGAAAUAUCAAGUAAUGUAAUUUGUAAUAAAAUUAAAAAUCUGAAUAAAACAAAAAAUAAGAAAGGUACGAUAAAAAAGGAGAUUGAUACAAAGGAAAAAAAUAUAAAUAAUCGUUUUAAAAAGAAAGUUGGUCAUGUUAUAGAUACUGAUUGUGUUAGUGGUAAUAUUAGUAAUGGAACUAAUAAUAGUAAUUCUGUCUUACAUACUAGUACAAACAUUUUAUAUGAAUGUGAUAAGAGAAGAAGUAAUAGAAAAGGAGUUAUUAAGGCCAUUAAUAAGAAUAAUGGUAUUUGUAAAGAUAAAGUAACAAAGAAAAAAAACGAAAAUCUAGGAAUGGUAAAAAAAGUUGAAACUAGAGGAAGAAAAAAAAAAAGCGAAACUAUAGGAAUAAAAAAAAAAAUAGAAUCUAGAAGAGGGAGAAAAAAAACAGAAACUAUAAGAGGAAGAAGACCAAAAAAAAUUGAAAACACUGUAUUGCUAAACAGCGAUGAAGAUAUAGAAGAAGAAAAAAGAAAAACAAAAAAAAACUUGAAAAAGGAGAAAGUUGAAAAUGGUAAUAACAGUAACAGUGUAAACAACAGUAACAGUGUAAACAACAGUAACAGUGUAAACAACAGUAACAGCAUAAACAACAGUAACAGCAUAAACAAUAGUAACAGCGUAAACGAUAGUAACAUCGUAAACAACAGUAACAGCAUCGAUAACAGCAACAACAGUAAUAGCAUAAACAACAGUAACAGCAUAAACAAUAGUAACAGCGUAAACGAUAGUAACAUCGUAAACAACAGUAACAGCAUCGAUAACAGCAACAACUGUAAUAGCAUACCGUUAUAUACAAAAGAAUUAAAAACAAAUUGUGUUAAAAUUGUAACUGAGUCGGAUAUGCUUUUAUUAUAUAAAGAUUAUUUGAAAGAUAUAGCAAAAGAAAUAAAAAAAAAAAAAAAAAAAAACAAGGAUAUGCAAUAUAAUAUGAAAAACGGUACAAAUGGAGUAAUGGGUGAUAUAAUCAGUGGUAAACUAACAAAGUAUAUAUGUAAAGAAAAUAAUACGCCAAACACGGUAAAUACGGUAAAUACGGUAAAUACGAUAAAUACGGUAAAUACGGUAAAUACGGUAAAUACGGUAAAUAUAGUAAAUACGGUAAAUACGCCAAACACGGUAAAUAAUUUAAAAAACACAGAAAAUGGUCAUUAUUGUUCUAAACUAGGGGCUAAAAUUGAGGUUAUAAUGAGAGAGGAUGUUGUAGAAAAAAAUAAACAUUUUUCUUAUGUUAAUAAUUAUAGUAAUGAUUAUAAUAUAAAAACUAAUUUCGAACUGUUUCAUAGGAAAGUGGAAUGGUUUUAUCACUGGUUCAUUGAAAGUGCUUCGAACAUCGAGUAUGACCACCGAUGGAGUAUAAUAUUACCUUAUAUUGUUUUAAAAUAUGAUGAUAAUAGUAUAAUUAAUCAUAAUAUUUUUAUGAAAAAACUAAAUAAAGAGUAUAUAAAAAAAGAAACAUAUCCAACAGCCGUUUCAACGAUAACAUCAAUAAAAUUAGAAACAAAAACUGGUGAAGAAGAAAUAAAAACUGGUGAAGAAGAAAUAAAAACUGGUAAAGAAGGAACAGAAACUGGUGAAGAAGAAAUAAAAAGUGGUAAAGAAGAAAUAAAAAGUGGUAAAGAAGAAAUAAAAAGUGGUAAAGAAGGAACAGAAACUGGUAAAGAAGGAACAAAAAAUUGUGAAGAAAAUAGUAAAGAAGAAAGUGUUAUAUGUGAGAAGUUAAAUGGUGAAAUAAACAAUACGCAUGAUAAUUGUCAAAGUAAUAAAAAACGAAAAGUUAUUGUAGAAAUGAAUGGUUUUAACAAUGAAGGGGUACAAAAUGGAGAAAAUGGAGAAGAGAUAGAAGAAGAAAACACUGUUAAAAAGGAAGAUAAUAAUAAGGAUAAAACAAUUAAAGAAUUGUCAAGUUUUAAUGAAUAUGUACUAACUAAAGAAGUUGUUGCACAAGCUAUUGAAAACACUUUGAAUAUGAAAGAAAAUAAAAAAGAAGAAGAAUAUUAUUCUUUUCAUAAAGAUCAUGCUGUUGUUUAUUUGUGUUCAAGUUUGUUGGACUCUGAUGUAAAAGAAAGAUGUGAAAAUGAAAGAGGUGAUGUAAAUGGAAAUGUAAGUGACAAUGUAAAUGACAAUGUAACUGAUGAUGGAAGUGAUGAUAGAGAUGAAGCGAAAGAUACGAAAACGGAGGUACAAAAUAUGGUAAAGAAAAGAAGUAAAAGAAUUGAAACAAUACAAAAUCAAAAUCAAAAUAAUAAAUUAAAUGAUACAAAUA